rnacentral:pre_miRNA from 1 species
AGCCUUCUGUAUCCGUGCUGAAAUUUCGUCACACAUCAGACCACAAGAGCUGAUGAGACUCCCAAGUGAAGAGAUCA